UGGAAACAAGUGUUCAACACAGAUGAAUUUGGAUCAUCAAAUAGAGUCACUAAACUCUGUUUCCAC
rnacentral:tRNA from 1 species